GGGUGAGUAACACGUGGGUGAUCUGCCUCGCACUUCGGGAUAAGCCUGGGAAACUGGGUCUAAUACCGGAUAUGACUUCUGGUCGCAUGGCUGGGGGUGGAAAGAUUUAUCGGUGCGAGAUGGGCCCGCGGCCUAUCAGCUUGUUGGUGGGGUAAUGGCCUACCAAGGCGACGACGGGUAGCCGGCCUGAGAGGGCGACCGGCCACACUGGGACUGAGACACGGCCCAGACUCCUACGGGAGGCAGCAGUGGGGAAUAUUGCACAAUGGGCGAAAGCCUGAUGCAGCGACGCCGCGUGAGGGAUGACGGCCUUCGGGUUGUAAACCUCUUUCGACAGGGACGAAGCGCAAGUGACGGUACCUGUAGAAGAAGCACCGGCCAACUACGUGCCAGCAGCCGCGGUAAUACGUAGGGUGCGAGCGUUGUCCGGAAUUACUGGGSGUAAAGAGCUUGUAGGCGGUUUGUCGCGUCGUCUGUGAAAACUCACAGCUCAACUGUGAGC
rnacentral:rRNA from 1 species